rnacentral:rRNA from 1 species
CCUACGUGUGGCAGCAGUGAGGAAUCUUGGUCAAUGGACGAGAGUCUGAACCAGCCAAGUAGCGUGAAUGAUGAAUGCCCUCUGGGUUGUAAACUUCUUUUAUAUGGGAAUAAACUGUUCCAAGUGUGGGAUUUUGUAUGUCCCAUAUGAAUACGGAUCGGCUAACUCCGUGACAGCAGCCGCGGUAAUACGGAGGAGCCGAGCGUUAGCAGGAUUUUUUGGGUUUAAAGGGGGCGUAGGUGGAUUGUUAAGUCAUGUGUGAAAGUUUGCGGCUAAACCGUAAAAUUGCAGUUGAAACUGGCAGGCUUGAGUACAGUAGAGGUGAGCGGAAUUCGUGGUGUAGCGGUGAAAUGCUUAGAUAUCAGGAAGAACACCGAUGGCGAAGGCAGCAUACUGGCGCCCGACUGACGCUGAGGCACGAAAGCGUGGGGAGCGAACAGGAUUAGAUACCCCUGUAGUC